UUGAUCGGAAGCUUAUCGGUCAAAAAAUCAAAUACAUCCGGCUUGCCUACAUCGGCUAGGUUUCUGAACUCCCUCUUUUUUCUCAAGUUUUCCUCCACUCAAUCUUCUUCCUCUCUUACGUCGCCCCUUCCCCAUUCUUCUCCUUCUCCUUCCUGUGCCAUUGCCAUCCCCGGUCACCCUCGCCGCCAUCCCUCGACCAGUGUUCCGCCUCGCUGGAAAGCCUCAUCGCAGCUGCUGCCACCGAUUCAGCAAGACGAUGCUCACCAAACCCUCACCGCUCCGCUCCGCCUCGUCUCUCUCUCUAGUACUACAGGGAAGACUUUGUCACCACCGCUCCACCACCGUAGGUAAGCAGCCAUCAUCCUCAUCCUUACGGAAUUUCAUGUCAGCCACUAUCGUCAUCCGGGAUCCAUCUCCGAUCUCCCACCGCCGGCAGCCACCAUCCAUUUGGGUGGAGGGUUAAAGGGAUUAGUGGUGAAGCUCAGAGGUCAUGUCGGGACAAGUGCAUAAUACUGCUGCUACAUAUAUGAUAUAUGAAACAUGCUAUUCGUGGAUUGGAAAAUCAGGGGUUGAAUCUUGGAAACAUUCAAGUAAGUACCCUGCAGUCCUAAAGUUGACUUUUUGUUAAAAUCUCUAGUAAACUUUUGUUUGACUGUUUAGUAUUUAUAUAUGUUAUAAAUAUUGUUAGAUGGAGAUAGAUUCUAGUAAACACGUGAAAAUCUUGCCGUUCAAAAAAAAAAAAAAAACACGUGAAAAUCUUUUCAAUAUCUUAAAUUCUAUAAAUAGGUUAAUAAAGGGAGUACUAUUGUGGUUUAAAAAAUGGACUUUUAUUUUUACUGUUUUUUUUUUUCUAAAAAAAUCAUUUUAUUGACGAAAAUAUAUAUCUGUCACCAAAGACUGAAAUAGUAUGUCGGUAAUCCCCACUUUUCUAGUAGUUGUCCUCUAUAAUCCUUUAAAAUAUCGGAUUUGUCAAAAGUUUAUUUUUUUAAUGUUUUAAGUUUCUUUUUCAUAUUUCAAAAUGUCUUGUGUGCGUCUGCAAGUACAAGUUUGACCUGUGUUUCAUGUGUUUUUAUUCUAAAAAAGUAAACACUUUGCGACCCUAUUUGGCUUUGGAUGUUAAAGUUCAAGUUACUUGGCUGACGAAGUUUUUCUGUUUUUGCGGUUUAGAAGGCAGGGGCAAUAUGGUCCAUUUAUUAUUAUUAUUAUUAUUUAUUUAUUUUACUUUUUCCUGUUUUAAUGAUUUUAAAAUGUAGAAAAGGAUUAUAAAAAUAUAUAAAUAAAUAAAAACAGAUUUGGGAAAUCUAAUAUUAUAAAGGAUUAGAGUCAAAUACAAUAUUUAGGUAUUAUGUUGGACAAAUAUAUUUUGAUGUUUAAUAAGGAAAUAUGCAAAAUUGUCUCAAAAAUCAAACACCCCUCCAAUAAAAAUAAAAAACACACGAAUAAAAAAUCAAAAACACCUGUAUAAAAAUAAAAUACACGUGUAUAAAAAAUCAAACCCAGUAAGAACACCAACUUUUCUCUUUUUUAUUUGGUAUCACACUGGCAUAUGCUUGGAGGAUUUUGAGCUCGUGGAAAAAAGAAAUGUUUUUUUUUUUUUUUUUUUGGAUUUUAAUUGGGUUUGUAGGAGGAUCUUGGAAAAUUUUCUAAGUGGGUGAAAGAAAGUUUCAAAUGGAGACAGAGAGAAAAUUAUUAAAGGAAAUGUUUGCAACUAUUUGUUUAUGUUGUUAUUUGUAAGUAAAAUAAAUAGAUUAACAUCAGAAUUUUAAAACUGCAAUGUUGUAAUCGCUAUAAUUGCAUAUCAGUUUCUUUGGAAAAAAAAACUCUGUAGUUAUUAAAUAAUGACAUUUGGAAAACAGGUAUUAAAUCGAUUCGACACCAAUUAUUGUCUUAUUGAAAUAAAGAUAUGAACUUACCUGAAAAUCAAUAAAUAGUUAUUUAUUUAUGAUUCUUUAAAAUGAGUAUAUGCAUUUUCAUAACAUCCAUCACCCAUACUGUUUAUGUUUGUUUGACUUUAGAGGUCAAAGUUUACCCCUUUUUAUUGGGAUGAAUGCAAGAAAUAGCAACAUAAUUUCAUUUAUUUGUGUCUUAUUGUGUUCAACUUCCAAUUCCUUGUAUAACAGCAUUGUACUUUAAAAUAAAAAUCUUAUUAAGGCAUUGUACACUGAAAUUUCUACCCAAUUUAACAUUGUACUUCUAUUUUUUUCUUAAUAAGACAUUAUACUUUAAAAAGUUUACUCUAUUAUAACAAUAAAAAUUGCUUUAAAGCAAAUUGGUAAAUUUGAUAUAAUACGUAGAUUAUUUUUUGCUAUAGUUUUAAAUGCCUAGCAAAAAUGCAUGUAAUAUCAAAGUGGAACUUUCCAAUGAAUUUAGUUAAGGUGAAACAUAUGAAAGUGAAGUGUUAGCUCUAUAUCCUUGCUGAAGUUAUACUGUUGGUCUAGUGGGUUAUAAUUAAUACCAACAGAAGAAAACCAAUCGAACUUUGGAGUACAUGUUUUCCAAUUGGUAGAGAUAUUUUUAGAUGUUAUACUUGGUUAUUAUGAAAUAUUUAUACAUGGAUGAAUCAUUUGUUACCAGUUUUAUACUUUUUUUUUUAAUCCAUUUUAGAUGCUUAAAGAUUUAGAAUAUGUCCAAAGUUUUCAUCAUCAACAUUUAAGCAUGUAACCCAGAGAAACCACAUUACAGCAUUAUCAAUAGUGCAUCUACCAUGAUGUAAAAGAAAAAGCAAAUUCAUAAUUUAUUUAUAAUUAAAAUCGAAAGGAAAGAUUGGAAAGUGAAACCAACUCAAGAUUGGCUAGCUUUCAAGAAGGAAUUAUUCCACAUACAACAUUCUUAUAAACUAAGGAUAUUAUCAUCAAUCUUUGAAAGUGGAGGGGCGAUAAACCAAAAGAAAAGGAAAAUAAAAAGAAAACAAUAAUAAUCAAAGUCUAUUAUCAUCGCUAUGUAUAAAACUAUAAAUCGUUGCAAGUAAUGGGAAAAGAAAGGAUGAAUUUAAGUGAGAACAACAUUAUUUCAAUGUAUACUAACGGGUCUAAUGAUUCGAACAGUAAACCCUCAAAAACACAAAAGACAUUCAGUUUAUACCAAUAUUCAAACUAGACACGUGUGUUUUUUUUUUCGUAUCAAAUUUGACAUGUGUUUUCCAAUUUGUUAUUAUUCUGACCACUUGACCGGUCAUCCAGGUUACAUGCUGACGUGACAUGAAUACGUGUCAGUUUUGAUGACGUGACAUGCUGACAUCAUAUGCUGAUGUGUCAAAAUUUUAAUUUUUUUCCACAAAAAACACUAAGUUUUCAUUUUUUUUUUCCGAUUUUUGACACUAUGUUUUUUGUUCCAAAUCGAACAUCAUUUAUCAAAUUUUGUUCAAUUUUCAUCAUUUUCCAUUUGAAACUGUAUAAAUAUAUUUUUUUAUUAUAUUUUAAACCAUAUAAAUAUAUUUUUUUCGUUUAAAAACCACA